UACGUAGGGUGCAAGCGUUGUCCGGAAUUAUUGGGCGUAAAGGGCUCGUAGGCGGUCCAUCGCGUCGGGAGUGAAAAGCUGGGGCUUUACCCCAGUCCUGCUUCCGAUACGGGUGGACUAGAGGUAGGUAGGGGAGAACGGAAUUCCUGGUGUAGCGGUGAAAUGCGCAGAUAUCAGGAGGAACACCGGUGGCGAAGGCGGUUCUCUGGGCCUUACCUGACGCUGAGGAGCGAAAGCAUGGGGAGCAAACAGG
rnacentral:rRNA from 1 species